rfam:Schistosoma rodhaini strain Burundi genome assembly, scaffold: SROB_scaffold0001852
AGCUUUUUCAAUCCGUGUAGAGAUUUCGUCAGACACCAACUCAUUACGGUUGAUCAGACUUCCAAGAUAAGUGAAGUU